rnacentral:rRNA from 1 species
UAAGGAAUAUUGGUCAAUGGGCGGAAGCCUGAACCAGCCAUGCCGCGUGCAGGAAGACGGCCCUACGGGUUGUAAACUGCUUUUAUACGGGAAUAAACCCACCUACGUGUAGGUGGCUGAAUGUACUGUAAGAAUAAGGAUCGGCUAACUCCGUGCCAGCAGCCGCGGUAAUACGGAGGAUCCAAGCGUUAUCCGGAUUUAUUGGGUUUAAAGGGUGCGUAGGCGGCCUGUUAAGUCAGGGGUGAAAGACGGUAGCUUAACUAUCGCAGUGCCCUUGAUACUGAUGGGCUUGAAUGUACUAGAGGUAGGCGGAAUGUGACAAGUAGCGGUGAAAUGCAUAGAUAUGUCACAGAACACCAAUUGCGAAGGCAGCUUACUAUGGUAUGAUUGACGCUGAGGCACGAAAGCGUGGGGAUCAAACA